GAAGAAGCUUGCUUCUUUGCUGACGAGUGGCGGACGGGUGAGUAAUGUCUGGGAAACUGCCUGAUGGAGGGGGAUAACUACUGGAAACGGUAGCUAAUACCGCAUAACGUCGCAAGACCAAAGAGGGGGACCUUCGGGCCUCUUGCCAUCGGAUGUGCCCAGAUGGGAUUAGCUAGUAGGUGGGGUAACGGCUCACCUAGGCGACGAUCCCUAGCUGGUCUGAGAGGAUGACCAGCCACACUGGAACUGAGACACGGUCCAGACUCCUACGGGAGGCAGCAGUGGGGAAUAUUGCACAAUGGGCGCAAGCCUGAUGCAGCCAUGCCGCGUGUAUGAAGAAGGCCUUCGGGUUGUAAAGUACUUUCAGCGGGGAGGAAGGGAGUAAAGUUAAUACCUUUGCUCAUUGACGUUACCCGCAGAAGAAGCACCGGCUAACUCCGUGCCAGCAGCCGCGGUAAUACGGAGGGUGCAAGCGUUAAUCGGAAUUACUGGGCGUAAAGCGCACGCAGGCGGUUUGUUAAGUCAGA
rnacentral:rRNA from 1 species